GAUGAAGAACGCAGCGAAAUGCGAUAAGUAAUGUGAAUUGCAGAAUUCCGUGAAUCAUCGAAUCUUUGAACGCACAUUGCGCCCCCUGGUAUUCCGGGGGGCAUGCCUGUCCGAGCGUCAUUGCAACCCUCAAGCGCGGCUUGUGUGUUGGGCUUCGUCCCCCCGUGGACGUGCCCGAAAGGCAGUGGCGGCAUCCCGAAUGGUGCCCGAGCGUAUGGGAACUCUCUUCCGCUCGAACCGGCCCAUUCGGCGCUGGUCGAACCCCAAUUUUUUUUUACCGGUUGACCUCGGAUCAGGUAGGGAUACCCGCUGAACUUAAGCAUAUCAAUAAGCGGAGGA
rnacentral:misc_RNA from 1 species